rnacentral:lncRNA from 1 species
UAAGAUCAGAGUGCUUGAAAUCUCCUGUGAUAUGCUGCUCAGUAUUUUCAUGAAUAUUACCCGUGAUCGCAUUAGACCAAAAAAGCCAGAUUUUUCCAUUAGAGUUACUAACUGCAUGUUCCAUUUGAAGAUGAACUCUCACAGUGUUGAGUUGGGAAUUGUCUGCAAAGGGCUCAAGUACAGCAAUCAUAUCUAAAUGGUGCAUCUUCUUGAGUGUUUGAAGUCUCUCCAGAGAACCUUGGGUGUUGAUACUCCUAGCAUUCCAACAGAGGGCCUUAAUCAUCAAAAACCUUUAGAUUUGGA